rnacentral:rRNA from 1 species
GACGAGCCACACGAACGUUAUUCGGAAUUACUGGGCUUAAAGGGUGCGUAGGCUGCGCGGAAAGUUGGGUGUGAAAUCCCUCGGCUCAACCGAGGAACUGCGCCCAAAACUGCCGUGCUCGAGGAAGAUAGAGGUAAGCGGAACUUACGGUGGAGCGGUGAAAUGCGUUGAUAUCGUAAGGAAGACCAGUGGCGAAGGCGGGUCUCUGGACAGUUCCUGACGCUGAGGCACGAAGGUCAGGGGAGCAAACGGG